GACGAACGCUGGCCGCUGCCUAAUACAUGCAAGUCGAGCGCUUGCACAAGAAAGCUUGGUUUCUUGUUGCUUGGGCGGCGGACGGGUGAUAACACGUGGGCAACCUGCCUAUAAGACUGGGAUAACUUCGGGAAACCGGAGCUAAUACCGGAUAAUGCUUUUGAACACAUGUUCGAAAGCGGAAAGAUGGUUUCGGCUAUCACUUAUAGAUGGGCCCGCGGCGCAUUAGCUAGUUGGUGAGGUAACGGCUCACCAAGGCGACGAUGCGUAGCCGACCUGAGAGGGUGAUCGGCCACACUGGGACUGAGACCCCGGCCCCGACUUCUUCGGGAGGCAGCCGUAGGGAAUCUUUCCCGCAUGGGCGCAAAGUUUGACGGAGCCAAACGCCGCGUGAGUGGAUGAAGGGUUUUGGGAUUGUAAAAUUUCUGUUGUUAGCGGAGAGGACCAAGUACCGGAGUAACUGGCCGGUACCUUGACGGGUUCCCUACCCUAGAAAAGCCCCGGGCUAAUUUCGGUGGCCAGCAAGCCGCCGGUAAAUAGCGUCGGUGUGGCAAGGCGUUGUGUCCGGAAUUUUUUGGGCGUAAAAGCGGGCGCAGGGCGGUUUCUUUAAGUUUGAAUGGGAAAAGCCCCCCGGCCUCAACCGGUGGAGGGUCUUUGGAAACUGGGGGAGCUUUGAGUGCAGAAGAGAAGAGCGGAAUUCCACGGUGUAGGGGUGAGAUGCGUAGAGAUGUGGGAGGGAACCCCAGUGGCGAAGGCGGCUCUUUGGUCUGUAACUGGACGCCUGAGGGCGCGAAAGCGUGGGGAGCAAACAGGAUUAGAUACCCUGGUAGUCCCCGCCGUAAACGAUGAGGUGCUAAGUGGUUAGAGGGUUUCCGCCCUUUUGGUGGUGCCGGCAAACGCCUUAAGCCUCUCCGCCUGGGGAGUACGGCCGCAAGGGUGAAACUCAAAGGAAUUGAGGGGGGCCCGCACAAGGGGUGGAGCAUGUGGUGUGUGAUUUCGAAGCACCGCGAAGAACCUUACCAGGUCUUGACAUCCUCUGCCACCCCUAGAGAUAGGGCGUUCCCCUUCGGGGGACAGAGUGACAGGUGGUGCAUGGUUGUCGUCAGCUCGUGUCGUGAGAUGUUGGGUUAAGUCCCGCAACGAGCGCAACCCUUGAUCUUAGUCCCAGCAUUCAGUUGGGCCCUCUAAGGUGACUGCCGGUGACAACCCGGCCGAAGGUGGGGAUAAUCCCGCGCCCAUGCGCCGAAUAGCAUCGACCUUCGGCUUAAA
rnacentral:rRNA from 2 species